rnacentral:rRNA from 1 species
GACACGGCACUAUGCUUUGCCUUUUAGGUUAGAGUGUAGUGUCUAGUCUUAUUUUCUAGGUUCUCUAUUAGCCUUGACGGGUGUGUAGAGGUGUCUAGGACUUUUACUUUGAAGAAAUUAGAGUGUUUAAGGCAGGCUUGUGCUUGAAUACAUUAGCAUGGAAUAAUAGAAUAGGACUUUGGUUUUAUUUUGUUGGUUUUAAAAACUAAGGUA